rnacentral:rRNA from 1 species
AGUGAACGCUGGCGGCGUGCCUAAUACAUGCAAGUCGAACGAAGUGGCGCACGGGUGAGUAAUAUAUAGUUAAUCUGCUCUAUACAGAGGAACAACAGUUGGUGACGGCUGCUAAUACCUCAUCGUGUAGGAUGAGACUAUAACGUAUCAGUUAGUUGGUAAGGUAAUGGCUUACUAAGGCUAUGACGCGUAACUGGUCUGCGAGGAUGAUCAGUCACAUUGUAACUGAGACACGGUCCAGACUCCUUCGGGAGGCGGCAGUAAGGAAAUUUGCGCAAUGGGGGAAACCGUGACGCAGCACCGCCGCGUGGAGUAUGACACGUUUCGGAGCGGAAACUCCUUUUAUCAGGAACGCGGUACCUGAUGAAUAAGCACCGGCUAACUCCGUGCCAGCAGCCGCGGUAAUUC